AUGGAAGACACAAGAUUCUGCCCUAGACUUGAAAUGGGUCCCUGGCUCUUCUAUGUGGCCCUGUGUCUCCUGGCAGCAGGACACACGGAUGCUGGAAUCACCCAGAACCCAAGAUACAAGGUUGCAGAGACAGGAAAGCAAGUGACACUGGAAUGUCAUCAGACUAAUAAGCAUGACUAUAUGUACUGGUACCGACAGGACCUGGGACAUGGGCUGAAGCUGAUCCAUUACUCAGUUGGUGCUACUAUCACUGAUAAAGGGGAAGUCCCCGAUGGCUACAGUGUCUCCAGACCAAGCAUAGAGAAUUUCAACCUCUCUCUAGCGUCUGCCACCCACUCCCAGACAUCUGUGUACUUCUGUGCCAGCAGUGAUCCACAGUGCUGCACGGCCGCCUCCUCUCUGCACAGAAAGGGCAAUUAG